rnacentral:rRNA from 1 species
CCUACGGGCGGCAGCAGUGGGGAAUAUUGGACAAUGGGGGGAACCCUGAUCCAGCCAUGCCGCGUGUGUGAAGAAGGCCCUCGGGUUGUAAAGCACUUUCAGUGAGGAAGAACGCCUGGUGGUUAAUACCCAUCAGGAAAGACAUCACUCACAGAAGAAGCACCGGCUAACUCCGUGCCAGCAGCCGCGGUAAUACGGAGGGUGCGAGCGUUAAUCGGAAUUACUGGGCGUAAAGCGCGCGUAGGUGGCUUGAUAAGCCGGUUGUGAAAGCCCCGGGCUCAACCUGGGAACAGCAUCCGGAACUGUCAAGCUAGAGUGCAGGAGAGGAAGGUAGAAUUCCCGGUGUAGCGGUGAAAUGCGUAGAGAUCGGGAGGAAUACCAGUGGCGAAGGCGGCCUUCUGGACUGACACUGACACUGAGGUGCGAAAGCGUGGGUAGCAAACAGGAUUAGAUACCCCAGUAGUC